rnacentral:rRNA from 1 species
UUAAUUUACAUCUUCAUCGCCAGGGAAUUACGAGCAAUGCUUAAAACCCAAAGGAUUUGACGGUGUCCCACCCCGCUAGAGGAGCCUGUUCUAUAAUCGAUGAUCCCCGCUUCACCUAACCAUCCCUCGCCCAUCAGUCUGUAUACCUCCGUCGAAAGCUUACCAUGUGAACGCCCGCAGUAAGCUUAAUGAUCCACCAUCAGCACGUCAGGUCAAGGUGCAGCUUAAGGAAUGGAAAGUAAUGGGCUACAAUUUCUAACUUAGAACAAACGAAAGACUAUGUGAAACCCUAGUCAUGAAGGUGGAUUUAGUAGUAAAAAGAAAGUAGAGUGUUCUUUUUAACCCGGCUCUGGGACGCGUACACACCGCCCGUCACCCUCUUCGAUGGUACCUCAUUUGUCCCUAACCCAACACUACAUUUUAGAAGAGGCAAGUCGUAACAUGGUAAGUGUACUGGAAAGUGCACUUGGUACACCA